rnacentral:sRNA from 1 species
UUCUAUUCUCUCAUUAACCUCUCCAUGUGGAACCAUGUUGGCUUGCUUGGUGUGGUCUGAUGAGAGCCAAGGUUUAAACCCCAAAAGUUCAGUUUCAGUUUGAAAGAAGCAGCUAGGACCCUGACACCACAGCUUCCGUGAGAAAUGGACAGUGUCUGCUAGAAGCACAGUAUGUGACACAGAGUAUGUGAAUGUGAUCUCUUCUUGUGAGGACACUGGUCAUAUUAGAUUUAAGGCCCACGCUAAUGUACUAUGACCUCAUCUUAGGACGAUGACAUCUACAAAGAUCUCAUUUCCAGCAUGCCUGCCUCAUUAUCCCCAGGGGUUUGGAAUUGAGUGUGCGUUUUUGAGGGACACAGUUCAACCUCCAACAAUGUUUUUCUCUGUGGAAUUCAAACACGAAGCAUAUGCAGACUGCAACUGUCGGGAGGAAUUCACAGAAGAGUGAUGUGAUGAGCCCAUGUACAAGCAGAAGCACAGAAAAGGCUCAAACCUCGAAGUUCCUGACACAGAUAACACCACUGCCAAAACUAAAACAAAGGCCUACUCCAGCAAAGCCCAUAGUUCUGGGAAAGUCUCUAAACAUACUAACCUUGGUUUUUGCCUUCUGCAGGUCAGCUUCUGGGUAACUCUUCUUGUUAAUGGGGAUAGGACAACCUAGUACAUAAUUUUUACCCUUAAAACUCACCCGAGAACGGCUUAGUGCUCCACUGGGGUCCUAAACACCAGCUGACAGUGAAGCCUUUCUGUUGGCUUAAACCCAUAUCUGAGCA